GUGUGUGUCAGUGUGUGUUUCUGUGAGUGUGUGAGUAUGUGUCAGUGUGAGUGUGUGUGUGUGUCUGUGAGUGUGUGAGUAUGUGUCAGUGUGAGUGUGUGUGUGUGUCUGUGAGUGUGUGAGUAUGUGUCAGUGUGAGUGUGUGUGUGUCUGUGAGUGUGUGAGUAUGUGUCAGUGUGUGUCUGUGAGUGUGUGAGUGUGUCUGUCAGUGUGUGAGUGUGUCUGUCAGUGUGUGAGUGUGUGUGUCUGUGAGUGUGUGAGUAUGUGUGUCUGAGUGUGUGUGUGUCUGUGAGUGUGUGUGUGUCUGUGAGUGUGUGAGUAUGUGUCAGUGUGAGUGUGUGUGUGUGUCUGUGAGUGUGUG